rnacentral:lncRNA from 1 species
CGGCAGUUACGGAAAGUCUUUUAACAGUUUGAGCAGCAGGUAUGUUCUGUUGUGCUGCUGCCUGCCUCAGAGUUAGUCUGUAUUUAUCUUGGAUGCACAUCUAUGUAAGAUGUCUUGGCAACAUAAGCAACGCCUAUCUGCGUUGUAUAUUUUACUCUGCAAGUGCAAGUAUGCUAAGUAAAAUGUAUUUGUUCUUUAAACUUUAAAAGAGAGCGCCUUGCAUAGUUUUUGUACGAGGAAAAAGGAACUAAUUAAAGGGUCAAAAGACCCGGGGAACUAGAGUUUAAAUGGGAACUAGAGUGUAAUUCCCACAGGUGUGCUAUACACAGGCCCAAGCAUACGUAGACUUGAAUGGCACGAUUUCCUCCCACCCUUAGGGAGCAGGAAGAACCAUAUGCAUUGGACCUCCAUACGUACAAGACAAUGGCUGGAGUGCCCGGUUUAUGUAAUGUCUUAUAUGCACCAUGGGGAGAAGUGACUGUACCUGCUCCUUCCACUGCAGAAUGCCAGUCCCUAGUUAUGUCAGUGUGUAAGCUGAGCUUUUGCACCCACCAUGCAACACAUUUCUGUUAUGUUUUUUGGGGAUUCUCCAAAUCUUAGCUGGCCUUGGUAGCUAGCCAUUAUUUGCGGUUCUCUCAACCCUACCCUACCUGAGUCCUCUUGCGUACUGAGAGUAUUCAAGGGAAUGGAAGGGCCAGCUAUUAAUUUUGUAGUGAUAUUUGCAAGUGUUCGGAAGUAGCAAAAAACCCCACAUCUUGUUGCUUUGAAUCACCUUAAAAGGAUGACAUAUAGUAGGGUGUUUGUUUGCUUUUUGUUUUUUAAAAAUGUUUUUUUUUAAAUUGCCCCUUUUUCCAAGUUCCAGAGGAAGGGCCUACGGAAUAACCUCUCACCUCAUGCCUGGAUUUGGAGGUGCUCAACAAAAGCAAUAAUCCCUAGUUCUGCAAAUCCUGGAGCCAUGUGUGGGACUGCAUUCCUACCAAUCCCAAAGUCUGCUGCAUAUGCCGGGCAUCUCAAGAGGAGGAUCUGUCUCUUCCACACAUCACAAAAAAGAGAUCCCCCCCCCAACCUCCAAAUCUGUUUCAAGCGGUAGUCAGCAUGCUGUCUCUAGCACAGUGGUUCUCAAGGGGUGUGGUGCGCCACACUGGUGUGGCAGGAGAGGGUGGCAAGUGUGGCAGGAAGAUUUGAGGACAAUCAACAUUAUAUUUGAGGAAUGAUUCGUGUUCUUAUGUAGCUGCAUUGUUUUAUAGUUUCUGCAUGUCCCAUGAUCAUAUUAUAAAGUAGUUGUGUUCUAUGUUACAGUGGUGCCUCGCAAGACGAAAUUAAUCCGUUCCGCGAGUCUCUUCGUCUAGCGGUUUUUUCGUCUUGCGAAGCAACCCUAUUAGCGGCUUAGCGGAUUAGCGCUAUUAGCGGUUUAGCAGCUAUUAAAGGCUUAGCGGCUUAGCAGCUAAAAGGCUAUUAGCGGCUUAGCGGCUUAGAAAAAGGGGGGGAGCGAAAAAAAUCUCAAGACUCGCAAGACAUUUUCGUCUUGCGAAGCAAGCCCAUAGGGAAAUUCGUCCUGCGAAGCGCAUCGAAAAACGGAAAACCCUUUCGUCUAGCGGGUUUUUCGUCUUGCGAGGCAUUCGUCUUGCGGGGCACCACUGUAUAUAAAUUAGGCACUGCUAGGAAUUCUUUCUUCUUGUUUUGCAAUGUAUUUCUCAUCAAUAAGAAAUCCGGAGGGGCGCGAGCAAAUUUUUAUUCUGAAAGGGUGACCCAGAGGAAAAACAUUUGAGAACUACUGCUCUAGGAAGAACAGAAUCAGGACAUGAAGGCCCUCCAUUAAUUUGUGACCCCGUAACUGACACAGCAAAUGCAACCUUGUCCCAUUGUCUCCAAACAGGUGAAGAAGAGUUUGGAUUUGAUAUCCCGCUUUAUCACUAACCGAAGGAGUCUCAAAGCGGCUAACAUUCUCCUUUCCCUUUCUCCCCCACAACAAACACUCUGUGAGGUGAGUGGGGGUGAGAGACUUCAAAGAAGUGUGACUAGCCCAAGGUCACCCAGCAGCUGCAUGUGGAGGAGCGUGGACGCGAACCCGGUUCACCAGAUUACAAGUCUACCGCUCUUAACCACUACACCACAGUGACUCUCCGUCAAAGUUUUGUGCUCGUUUUGUGCCACUUUGUGCUUCAAAGCCACAUUUUGUGCCACCCCCCCCCCCACCAAACUGAAUAAUCAAACAUUCAGACCGGGGUCACAAGUAAAUGGCCCCAAACCCAGCCUUGUCUGAUUGACUCCAAACCAGUCCCAAGUUGUGUGCUGGUACAUGAAGGCAACAGCCCUUCAUGGUUACUUACCAGCAUAUAGUACCCAGAGGGCCCCUCCAUUUGGUUAUAAUGGUUAAAGCCUUUGAUAGACCUAUUUGUGUAAAUUUGUGACAUCCUUUUUAAAAGAGCCAACGGUGCUAGUGACAUUCACUAUAUCUUAUGACGGUGAGUUCCAUAUAGUCAGGGAUGGGGAAUUUAUGGCGCUCUGGGGGUUGUUAGACUCCAACUUCCAUCAGUCCCAGCCAGCAUGACCAAUAGUCAGCAAUGAUGGGAACUGUUCUCCAACAUCUGGAGGGCCAGAGCUUUCUCAUCUCUGUGAACAUAUUGUGUGAACAAGAUUUUUCCUAUUUGCACUUACAAGAAGCCCCCAAAUAUAAAGGAAAUGCCUAGUGGGUGGAUUUCAUGCAGGGUAGAGUUCAUUAGAAGCAUA